rnacentral:lncRNA from 1 species
UGGUAUCAAAGUGAUGGGUCGAAGAAAUGAGGGGGAGUAGAGAGAAGACAGGUGUCCCUCCCUCCUAUUGGCGCCACGAAAGCUUUUUUUCCUUCUCCGGGACGUCGCUAUCAUGAUUAGUGGCGUGCGGGCAAGUGAUGCCACUGCCCCAACCACACCAAAGUGUAAGCAGUUUCGUCCGAGUCGUAAGGUAUGCAUUUCCCUAUGUGGCCCGCCGCGUACGUGGGUGUCUGAAUGCCUCCUAUGCGGUGAUGCUUGCGCUCUAGCUACAAGCAAAAUCUUUUGGCUUCAUUUUGGGUGGACACGAGAUAGUUCAGGGUACCGUUUGUAAGGCCUAGAAGAUCAAAUUACUACAGAUUGUAAUCUACCAAAAUCAAUGUUGUUUCAAGGAGAGUAUCUUGUCCUUCAAUUCAGCAAAAAAGUGUAGUAUCAGAGUGAUGUGUUGAAGCUAUCAUGUGCUACUUUCAUCCGCUUUGUCUGCGUCUGAUUUAUGUGUUUGGUGAUAGUGUCAUUUUGUGGUGGUGACAGAUGGAUAAUGCAAGUGGUGCAAGGAUCGAGAAGCGCUAGCAACCUCACUCCCUUGAGUGGUUGUCAAGUUGACAUUGUGGCGUUGUUUCCUCUUUUAUUCGGUGAUGGGUUCCAGUUGGUGCAUGUCCCAUACGUGUCAUCAUUUAAUCGACUCCACCUCGAACGUGGAUAAACAACACACUAUAUUAGGAUCAUGCAUGUGAAGGACUUUAAUUCCAUAUAUUGAUUGAUUCUUUUGUGUUGCAAACAUAUGCUCUCGGAUCAACCACCUACAAAGUCUAGCUAGAUGUGGUAAUAAGAUUUAUGAGUUCAAAUCAUUUUGACUAGAUAGACAAGUUUACUUAUCAAUGUUUUGGCUACCCAAAAUAUAAUUUUUGUGUUACUAAAACACAUGUGUAAAUGUCAAAGCAUGGUGUAGUGAUAAAUUGUUAUGAUCAAUUUUGUUCAUUGAUGUUGUGGUUCUCGUCAGUUUGUUCAGAUGUUGUGCUUCAUUGUGUUGCCCUGGUGAAUUUGUUGUACUCGUUCUAAGUUAUCGAGAUUUGUGGAGUCGAGCUCAAGCCUUCAUGAUAUUUUGAAGACUUCCGAUCUAUCAUCGAAAAGGUCAAGCCGACUACGGUAUGGGAGAGGUGACAGCGAUGCGUCAACGUCUUAUUCUGGUGGCGGUUGUUGUCGUUUGAUGGUCUAGAGACCUCCAUGGAACUUUUAUUAUGUUUGAGGUACUUUGUAUUUCUGAUAAACUUUUAUAAUAGAUCUGUAUCCUUUUUAGAAAAAAGUCUAAUAUCAGAGUGAUGCGUAGAAGCUAUCAUGUUCUAUUGUCAUCCGUUUGCUUUACAUGUUUGGUGAUAG